ACGAGACGCGAUCGGUGAUGUAUCACGAUGUAUGUAACUCGGCUCGGUUCGGUAAGCUCGAGCAAGCUCGAACAGCGCGGUGGCCGGUGGUGCGAGGUGCGCCGUAGGCUCGUAGUGCGAGUAUUCACUUGAGCCUUCAGUAGUAAACACCAAUCGGUGUAGGACAGAACGGUGUAGAACGUUGAAUGAUAUUGCCGCGUUACCACGGUAUUCGGCGGCCCGGCGUGUUGCGCACAAAAAGGAGCGCGGGUGCGCGUGCUGCACAGUGUUGCACGCAUCAUUUCCUGGAAAAAAAGAAAAAAAAAAGAAAAACAUCUGUGAUCGCAUCGAGGUCGCGCGCGGUCAAAAGAUCAGAGGGGAUUUGUACUUCGGAGGCGGAACCUCUGCAUCAGCGACGGAGUCAUCGACACCGUGUGUUAUUGGACGUAGCUUCCAACGCGGAAUCGUCCUGACGCGUGCAUUCCGAGGGAGAAGGUCUACCUGUGCGUACGAAACGAGUACGACGACGUAGUCGACUACGAGCGAUCGCACUUGUGAUCCGCCACCACCACCACCACCACCGCCGCCACCGGUAGGAUCCGUUAUCCUUACGGCGACAACAAGCCGACAAGACGACAAGACGACAGUGAGAGCUAAAAUUGAUCACGAGGAUAACAGCUGGCAGGAAGCUGAGGUUAGCGAAGUGUCACCACGCGUCACGCCGGGGUGGUGGGUCUAUGGGGGGCUCCGCCCCAGCGGUCCCCCGGCUCAAGUCCAACCGGCAACUGCCGGAACGGUGGUGCCAUCCUGGCACGGGCCAAGACCGCCCCGCUUCCGGCGGUACCACCGUCCAAGCGGAUGAAGAGUCCUUCCAACAUCAUGAGGCAGUCCAGCCUCACGAAACUCGGUUCCAUGAUCAAUACCGCCGUGAACAAACGUGCCGAUCGCGUGCGUGUUGGAAGAAAGGCUGUCGCUGUCGAAUCGAACGAAAAUAUGGUUCGUUACGUUCCGACCAAGCGGAAGGAAGUGAAGGACUCGAACAUCAUUUGUGCUGACUACAAUGAUUUCCGCAAUGGUGACAUACAGUGGUGUUUCUCACAAGUAAAGGGGACCUUAGAGGACGACGUUACGGAAGCUGAUAUAAUCUCAUGUGUUGAAUUUAACCAUGAUGGCGAUCUCCUUGCGACAGGAGACAAAGGUGGACGUGUUGUCAUUUUUCAGAGAGACCCUAUUAGUAAAAACAGUAUACCACGAAGAGGCGAAUACAAUGUGUAUAGCACUUUCCAGAGCCACGAGCCAGAGUUCGAUUACCUAAAAUCAUUAGAAAUAGAAGAAAAAAUUAAUAAAAUUAGGUGGUUAAAAAGAAAAAAUCCUGCCCACUUUUUACUCUCCACAAACGAUAAAACAAUCAAGUUGUGGAAGGUUAGUGAGAGAGAUAAAAGAGUGGAGGGAUAUAAUACAAAAGAAGAGAAUGGCACGAUUCGCGAUCCUGCCUGCAUCACUGCCUUGAGGGUGCCAACCAUAAAACCAAUGGAGUUGAUGGUAGAGGCAUCACCAAGGAGAAUAUUUGCCAAUGCGCACACCUAUCACAUAAACAGUAUAAGUGUCAACAGUGAUCAAGAGACAUACCUCAGUGCUGAUGAUCUUAGAAUUAAUCUUUGGCACCUUGAGAUAACUGACCAGAGUUUUAAUAUAGUAGAUAUUAAGCCAACUAAUAUGGAAGAAUUAACGGAAGUCAUAACUGCGGCGGAAUUUCAUCCUGCAGAGUGUAAUGUGUUGGUGUACAGCAGUAGCAAAGGAACUAUUAGACUUUGCGAUAUGAGAUCUGCUGCUCUCUGCGAUCAGCACAGUAAGCUUUUCGAGGAGCCUGAAGAUCCGACUAAUAGAAGUUUUUUCUCAGAAAUUAUUUCAAGCAUAAGCGAUGUAAAGCUCAGUAAUUCUGGAAGAUAUAUGAUCAGUAGAGACUACCUCAGUGUGAAAGUGUGGGAUUUGCAAAUGGAGACAAAACCAAUCGAAUGUUAUCCUGUACACGAAUACUUAAGAUCAAAAUUAUGUUCAUUAUAUGAAAAUGAUUGCAUCUUUGACAAAUUUGAAUGUUGUUGGAGUGGUAAUGACUCUGCGAUUAUGACGGGCUCAUAUAACAAUUUCUUCAGAGUAUUUGAUCGUACGACUAAACGCGAUCUUACUUUGGAGGCAGCACGCGACAUUGCCAAACCAAAAACGCUUCUGAAGCCAAGAAAGGUAUGCACCGGUGGUAAACGCAAGAAGGAUGAAAUUAGUGUCGACUGUCUGGAUUUUAAUAAGAAAAUACUUCACACUGCAUGGCAUCCAUCUGAAAAUGUGGUUGCUGUCGCUGCUACGAACAAUCUCUUCCUAUUCCAAGACAAACUCUAGCAUAUCUGUAUGCAAGUACGUGAAUAAUUUCAAUUGAAUAUUAGCCAGAAAGGAUCAGAGAUUAUACAACGGUAUAUAUUGACGUGAGCUAGGCACGUUGAACUGAAAACUCCCAAUGGAACCACGGGUGUCUGAGUAAUAGUGACGAUAGUCGACUGCUAGUCUGUCAGUGGUUGACUGACCGAGGAGUGGUGUACGUAGCGCCGUCCACGCAGCUCACAUUCAUACAUGCUAUAUACACAUAGACAUACCAGGAUUGUGCACCCCAUACUUUGUCGCGUGCAUAUGUGUAUGUGAAAAGAGAUGUGCAAACGUGAAACACACGCAUAACUCCAGGCUAUCAAUAAAUUCGCUAGCUCAAAUAUAUGCGCAGAUGAAAAAGAAACGUACGCAUUCGGCAGAAUAUGUGAUUCAACCAAUUCACAGACUCGUGUUGGCAGUUGAUUUAUGACUUAUAAAUACUAAUUAGUAAUUUUUUGCUUAUAUUAUAAAAAUUGUGCCAUCGCACAGUGUAGUCUAUAUGUGACUUAUCUACGCUACGGACUACCAGAGUGUUCGAUUAUCGCAUUGAUGAACAGGCGACUAUGUGAGUAGAGCAGACGUAUGGAUUACGAGCCGCUCGCUGCGGUACAAUUUCUGUACAAUUUCUGUACAAUUUCUAUAAAUACGUGGUACAAACUUUGAGUUUUCCUUAACUGAUAUGUCUGACUAGUAUAAAAAAAAGAAAUAAAAAAAAAUGAAAGGGGUCAAUCGAGCAAAAUCUGUAACUAUUGUAUUGAUGUAACUUUACUUAUUGUUACGCGGCAUUUGAAUUAUGGAAUUUGAAUUGUGAAAAAAAAAUACGCAAUAGUUGCCCAAGCAAAUUUUCAUCCUAUAAAUACUUUCGCAAUUAACAAUCGACUCGUGUAUUGCUGGCCUCGAUAUAAGAAUACAAAGUAAAUAAAUAAGAUUUACGAAUAGUUUUGUGCUUGUAGAAUUGGAAUACUGACAGUUACCACUAUGAAAGAAUUUGCCUUUCGGUAAAAUAACCUGUGUCUACAUUAUUUGUCUAUCAUUUGCAAUUCGGUACCACACUUGUUAAACGUGCAUAUGCGCAGGCCUAUUUUCUCGUUAGUUUAUUAUUAUCGCGAACUAAUUGUUUGUCUCAGUCGCCAAUACGAGUCAAAAAAAUGAUGAUAGAAAGUAUAAAUAUAUAUAAGCCGGUACCUUUCCUUAUAUUAUAUAUCUGGAAAAACCAAAUGUUGCUGCACUAAAUAUACAUCAAGCAAUAAGUGGCGCCGAUUUAAGACAAUGUAUAAUAAAGUAUCAAUUGUCAUUUUCUAAAAAAAAAUCGUAUACCCCGAUCGGGAGAUAAACGAAAAUCGCAUAGAUAUGGAGUACAGAUUUUCUAAUCUUUCUUAAUAACUUAUCGACACUCUUAUACUCCUACAGAUAUAAGCAGCAAUUUCGUACAUGGAUAAAAUAAACCUAAAAGUGCAUUUGUGACGAUGGUAAGCUGGGCUUGCAGAGUUUAUAUAUAAAUAAAAUAUUUGCUGAAUAA